GUCGCUAUGGUGGAAUGGCAGACACGGCAGACUCAAAAUCUGCUGAUAGCAAUAUCGUAUCGGUUCAAGUCCGAUUAGCGACA
rnacentral:tRNA from 1 species